UUUAAAAAAAAUUCUAUGCUUCAGCUUAAAAAAUUUAACUGAUGAAGUAUCAGUCCGUAUAACAUCUAAUAAAGCUUUUUUCCUGAUUCUGUUUAGUUCAGAAUUUACUGAGCACAUCCUGUUUGCCAAAUUCAAUUAUAGAUGCUGAAGUACAAAGAUAAGAUCCAGUCAUUGGCCUUAACGAAACAUACAGUCUAAUAAAAGAGACAGGCAGAUAAACAGACAGUGCCAGUACAUGGAGAUAUAUGUUCAGUACCAUGGAAGCCCAGAGGAGGAAAGCUUGUGAAGGAAAUCCAAGAAGGCAAGCAUGAUGGUACAGAUUAAACUUAAGGAUACAUAGGAUUUAGCCCAACAAACAUGCACAAGCAGAGGGAAGGCCAUGUGAGACACAGUAAGAAAGUGACCAUCUGCAAGGCAGGAAGGAGAAGUUUUUUGGUUUUGGUUCCCCACCAGGAAACAAAUUAAAUUCCACCUUGUUCUUGGACUUCCCAGCCUCCAGAGUUGUGAGAAAUAAAUGUCUGUUGCUUAA